rnacentral:rRNA from 1 species
GAUGAACGCUAGCGACAGGCUUAACACAUGCAAGUCGAGGGGCAGCACAGGUAGCACUACCGGGUGGCGACCGGCGCACGGGUGAGUAACGCGUAUGCAACUUACCUAUCAGAGGGGGAUAACCCGGCGAAAGUCGGACUAAUACCGCAUGAAGCAGGGGUCCCGCAUGGGGAUAUUUGCUAAAGAUUCAUCGCUGAUAGAUAGGCAUGCGUUCCAUUGGGCAGUUGGCGGGGUAACGGCCCACCAAACCAACGAGGGAUAGGGGUUCGGAGAGGAUGGGAGGCGACCGUGGAAGUGAGAAAGGGUGAAUAGUGGUCGGGGAGGCAGCAGUAGGGAAUGUUGAGGAAUGGGCGGAAGCAUUACGGAGUAACGCCGCGUGAGGGAGGAAGGGCUUGGGAUCGUAAAACUGUUUUAUUAGGGAAGAAUAAAUGUGGAAGUAAAUGUGCACAGCUUGACGGUACCUAAUCAGAAAGCAACGGCUAAAUACGUG